rnacentral:lncRNA from 1 species
CAAAAUUAUGACAAUCCGCUAACAGAUUCCGGGCAUAUAGCCGAUGAAUAGUGAUGGAAAUACUGUUCACUGAAUAGUGAUGGAAGAGAGCUUUUUAUUAAAUGUACAUUUUCCACCUAGAAUAAAAUGAUAUGGUGGCCGAAAUUUCAGCCUUUUUUCCUAGAAAUUUCGGCCAGUCAAAAAUAUAAUUUCUGGAUAAUAUUUAGAUAACACAGUAGAAGACCGUGGGAUAUUCGAGGAUCAUGAUUGUGCGGAUAGUGAAUAUUCCCAUCGAGAAGUCAUGAAACUGAAGGCUCACGUGAUAGAAGAGAUUUUUUAACGUUUCAAGAUGUAGCAAUGUAAUCCCGCAUAUGCUAGUUGUCUAAAUUACUUGUGAUUUUAAUACUAGUAUUACGUCCACUGCAUAUAAUAAUCCAACAAUUGGUAUCAGAGCCUACUCUCA